rnacentral:misc_RNA from 1 species
CACAUUCGGAACAUAGUCAGAGAAAAAUUUGGAGCCUGCCGUGGUACGAAUUCCCGCCAUAUCAAACAAAUCUUUCACCGCGAUGGGAAUGCCUCGCAAGGCUCGUGUGAGGGGGCCCGUGCCCACCGGUGUUUGUCCUCUAAAUGCUUCUU